rnacentral:rRNA from 1 species
UACGAAGGUGGCAAGCGUUGUUCGGAUUUACUGGGCGUACAGGGAGCGUAGGCGGUUGGAUAAGCCCUCCGUGAAAUCUCCAGGCUUAACCUGGAAAGUGCAGAGGGGACUGUUCAGCUAGAGGAUGGGAGAGGAGCGCGGAAUUCCCGGUGUAGCGGUGAAAUGCGUAGAGAUCGGGAGGAAGGCCGGUGGCGAAGGCGGCGCUCUGGAACAUUUCUGACGCUGAGGCUCGAAAGCGUGGGGAGCAAACCGG